UUAUCAUUAAUUGGCGGUAAAAAUCUAGCUGAUACAAUUAAAAAUAUUUUGCUCUUACUGCCAACAGACACUAUUUUGUCAGAAUACAGCAUGAAUUGUCUAAAGAAGAAAAAAAAAAUUAAAGUGUUGACACUUCUAUGUAACCCUGUCACUGAAGCUGCUUUUAAGUCAAAUAAAAACUUAACCAAAAUGAAUGCCAUCCAACUUAUUGG
rnacentral:lncRNA from 1 species